UACGUAGGGUGCGAGCGUUAAUCGGAAUUACUGGGCGUAAAGUGUGCGCAGGCGGCCGCGCAAGUCGAGUGUGAAAGCCCCGGGCUUAACUUGGGAAUUGCGCUCGAAACUACGUGGCUGGAGUGUGGCAGAGGAAGGUGGAAUUCCAGGUGUAGCGGUGAAAUGCGUAGAGAUGAUGGAGGAACACCGAUGGCGAAGGCAGCCCCCUGGGCUAACACUGACGCCUCGAUGCACGAAAGCGUGGGGAGCAAACAGG
rnacentral:rRNA from 1 species